rnacentral:rRNA from 1 species
UUGAAAAUAAAAAAUUAUUAUUUUUAAUUAUAUUUAUUUUAAUAAAAAAAAUAAUUUAAUUUUUAUUAUUAUAAUAAGAAAAAAUUAAUUAUUAUUAUAGUUUAUUGUAUUGUGAAAGAUAUUUUAGUAUUAAUUUAAAGAAAAAUUUAUUUUUUGUACCUUGUGUAUCAGGGUUUAUUAAAAUUUUAUAAAAAUUUAUUAUUCUCGAAUUUAAAAGAGCUAAAAAGUUAUUAUUAUUAAUGUGGAAUAAUUAUAUUAAAUAAUUUUUUUGUAAUGAAAUGUUAUUCGUUUUUAAAUAUAUCUAGUUUUUUAAGAAAGAAAUUAAAUUUUGUUAUUAUUAAUAUUAAUUUAAUUAAUUAAUUUAAUAUUUGUAAUAAUUAAUAUUUUUAGGGAUUAGCUUAAAAAUAAAGUUUUAUUAAAAUAAAAAUUAAUUAAUUUUUUAGGAUUAAAAAUUUUCAUAAUUAAGAGUAUGUUAUAAUUUAAUUUAAAUUUUUAAAAUUUUUAUUUUUUAUAAAUUUAUUUAUUAAAAUAUAAGUUUUAAUUUAAUAUAUUUAGUAAUAAUGAUAAAAUUAGUAUAAUUUUUUAUAAAAAUAUAAUUAAAAUUAAUGUUAAUUAAAGGAAUUCGGCAAAUUAAUUUUCACCUGUUUAAUAAAAACAUGUCUUUUUGGUAUUAAUUUAAGGUUUAGCCUGCCCAAUGAAAAUUUGAAUGGCCGCGGUAUUUUGACUGUGCUAAGGUAGCAUAAUCAUUAGUUUUUUAAUUAAAAGCUGGAAUGAAGGGUUGGAUGAAAAAUUAACUGUCUCUAAUUAAUUUUAUUAGAAUUUUAUUUUUAAGUUAAAAAGCUUAAAUAAUUUUAAAAGACGAGAAGACCCUAUAGAGUUUGAUAUAUUUAAUUUAUUAAUAUUAAGAAUUUACUUUUUAUAAUUAUAAUAUAUUUAAUUGGGGUGAUUAAAAAAUUUAAUAAACUUUUUUUAUAAAUUUAUAUUGGUUAAUAAAUUAAUGAUCCAAAAAUUUUGAUUAUAAGAUAAAUUACCUUAGGGAUAACAGCGUAAUUUUAUUAGAGAGUUCUAAUCGAAAAUAAAGUUUGCGACCUCGAUGUUGGAUUAAAAUUUAUAUUUGGUGUAGCAGCUAAAUAAUUUAAGUCUGUUCGACUUUUAGAAUUUUACAUGAUCUGAGUUUAAACCGGUGUAAGCCAGGUUGGUUUCUAUCUUUAAAUAUAUAAAAUAUUUUAGUACGAAAGGACCAGAUAUU